rnacentral:sRNA from 1 species
GUGUGGUACCUCGUAAAACCAUCACAAAACUAUAGUUGCCAAUGACGACAACUACGCACUAGCAGCUUAAUAACCUGCCUAGAGCCCUCAGCCUGACGUGUGCUUGUGCACUCAGAUCACUGGGGUCGACUCUCACAAGAUCGCGAUGAAGCCAGUCCGAGGUGGAUUCGUUAAAACCUAGUCGGAAUCGCCUUUAGUUUUCCCUGCCUCUCGGGUAGCUACGGGUUAAAUUAAUAGAAAGGAUAAGCAUGUAGAGCCUAAGGCGGAGGGCUUGCGGACGCGGGUUCGAUUCCCGCCGCCUCCACCA